rnacentral:rRNA from 1 species
CACGUAGGGUGCGAGCGUUGUCCGGAAUUAUUGGGCGUAAAGAGCUCGUAGGCGGUGUGUCGCGUCGGCCGUGAAAACCUGCAGCUUAACUGUGGGCUUGCGGUCGAUACGGGCAUCACUGGAGUUCGGCAGGGGAGACUGGAAUUCCUGGUGUAGCGGUGAAAUGCGUAGAUAUCGAGAGGAACACCAGUGGCGAAGGCGAGUCUCUGGACGACUCCUGACACUGAGGCACGAAAGCUAGGGGAGCAAACAGG